rnacentral:rRNA from 1 species
AGGACGAACGCUGGCGGCGUGCUUAACACAUGCAAGUCGAGCGGAAAGGCCCUUCGGGGUACUCGAGCGGCGAACGGGUGAGUAACACGUGAGUAACCUGCCCCAAACUUUGGGAUAACCCUCGGAAACGGGGGCUAAUACCGAAUAUUACUUCUGGUCGCAUGGCUGGUGGUGGAAAGUUUUUUCGGUUUGGGAUGGACUCGCGGCCUAUCAGCUUGUUGGUGAGGUAAUGGCUCACCAAGGCGAGGACGGGUAGCCCGG